rnacentral:lncRNA from 1 species
CAGACCUUUUUAUUUUUUUAUUUUGAGACAGGGUCUCUGUAAGUUGCCCAGGCUAGCCUCAAACUUGUAAUCCUCCUGCCUCAGCCUCCUGAGUUUCAUGAAUGACCAGCAUAUACCAUGGGACCCAGGUCAUUGUCUCUUUCUUGACCCACAGCCCCAUAUUCUGCUUUGCAGCUGUCAUGUUUUCCUGGUGCCUGGUCCAAGGGUGAUGUUUGAUUGUAGAGUCUCUGAUGUGUUCCCCCAAGGAAGCUGAGAUUUGUUUUCUUUUUCUUUCUUUCUUUUUAUUUUGUUUUUAAACUGGGCAUUAAACCCAAGAGUGCUUUUACCACUGAGCCACAUCUCAUGCUUAUUUUCUAUUUUUUAUUUUGGGACAGGGUCUCACUAAGUUGCUUAGGGCUUUGCUAAGUUGCUGAGAUUAGCUUUGAACUUGUGAUCCUCCUGCUUCAGUUUCCUGAGCCUCUGGGAUUACAGGUCUGUACCACCGUGCCCAGUGGAAACUGAGUUUUGUGGUGACAGGAGUUGCCAGGAAGUGGCCAUCUUUAGUUCAGAAAGGAACCACAUCCUUAGCAUCCAAGCUGGACGUUUGAACACUAGAGUGUGUGAAGUCCUCUGGACUUCACCUGAAGAUGUCCCUGGUGAUGUAGACUCUGUAGGCCAGGUUGAUCUUGGAGGGCUGCUUCUAUACUGUCUCAUAGGUAGGCUCCCUGGAACAGCCUCUUUGCAUGUUUGGGUUGGGGACAGGGGGAGAAUGUGGGACCCUUACUGGAAUACAUUCUCUUACCAGAUUCUCAGGACCCCCCUAACCCUUGCUCUUGUCCCUUCUCUGCUGCUGCAUCUUCUGCUGUCAUCUUCUAUUGUCAUCACUUGGAAGACUCUGGUUUCCAUGAAGGCUCCUACUCUCACCCUUUACCAGCCAGGACCUAUUCUAAGAGCCUUCUACAAGCACCAGAAGUAGGCACAGUGGCACAUACCUGUAAUC